CAUGUUGCCCAUCCAAUAGAUUACAUUUUUAAUAUUCGUUGCCCAGUAAUAGUAUAAAAAAUUGUGGAGAGCCAAUCCGCCGAUUUCUUUAGGUUUACAAAGAUGGCAAUAGUCCU